UACGGGGGGAGCAAGCGUUGUUCGGAUUUACUGGGCGUAAAGGGCGCGUAGGCGGUCAGUGCAAGUCAGUUGUGAAAUCUCCGGGCUUAACUCGGAAAGGUCAACUGAUACUGCUCGACUAGAGUGCGGAAGGGGCAACUGGAAUUCUUGGUGUAGCGGUGAAAUGCGUAGAUAUCAAGAGGAACACCUGCGGCGAAGGCGGGUUGCUGGGCCGACACUGACGCUGAAGCGCGAAAGCUAGGGGAGCGAACGGGA
rnacentral:rRNA from 1 species